UACGUAGGGGGCAAGCGUUGUCCGGAUUUAUUGGGCGUAAAGAGCGUGUAGGCGGCCAUACAGGUCAGCUGUGAAACUCGAGGCUCAACCUCGAGACGUCGGUUGAAACCGUAUGGCUAGAGUCCGGAAGAGGAGAGUGGAAUUCCCGGUGUAGCGGUGAAAUGCGCAGAUAUCGGGAAGAACACCCGUGGCGAAGGCGGCUCUCUGGGACGGUACUGACGCUGAGACGGCGAAAGCGUGGGGAGCGAACAGG
rnacentral:rRNA from 1 species